rnacentral:rRNA from 1 species
CAAUAGCGUAUAUUAAAGUUGUUGCGGUUAAAAAGCUCGUAGUUGGAGUUCUGCCAGGUGCCGCCUGUCCGCCCCAGUGGUGAGUACGUGGCGCGCAUUUGGCCCUUUCAAGGGGAGCGUAUCUGCACUUUAUUGUGUGGUGCGGGAUCCUUGACUUUUACUUUGAGGAAAUAGGAGUGUUCCAAGCAGGCUCUCGUCGUGCACAGCUCAGCAUGGAAUAAUAGCAUUGGACCUCGAUUCUAAGCUGUUGGUUGCCAGAAGCGAGGUAAUGAUGAAGAGGGAUAGUUGGGGGCAUUCGUAUUUAACUGUCAGAGGUGAAAUUCUUGGAUUUAUUAAAGACGGACUACUGCGAAAGCAUCUGCCAUGGAUGUUUUCAUUGA